rnacentral:rRNA from 1 species
UCUCAGAGAUUAAGCCAUGCAUGUCUAAGUACAUACCUUCAAACGGUGAAACCGCGAAUGGCUCAUUAAAUCAGCUAUGGUUCCUUAGAUCGUACCUACUACAUGGAUAACUGUAGUAAUUCUAGAGCUAAUACAUGCCACUAUGCCCUGACCCGCAAGGGAAUGGGUGGAUUUAUUAGAACAGAACCAACCGGUUGUGGCUUCGGCUGCUUCCGUUGCACUCUGUGAUGACUCUGGAUAACUUCACUGAUCGCAGUCGGCCUUGUGUCGGCGACGGAUCUUUCAAAUGUCUGCCCUAUCAAUUUUCGAUGGUAGGUGAUCUGCCUACCAUGGUGAUAACGGGUAACGGGGAAUCAGGGUUCGAUUCCGGAGAGGGAGCCUGAGAAACGGCUACCACUUCCAAGGAAGGCAGCAGGCGCGCAAAUUACCCAAUCCCAGAACGGGGAGGUAGUGACGAAAAAUACGGAUACGGGACUCUAAUGAGGCUCCGUAAUUCGAAUGAGUACAAUUUAAAUCCUUUAACGAGGAUCAACUGGAGGGCAAGUCUGGUGCCAGCAGCCG